ACUAAACCCUACAUGUUUGGACUUUUCUGUUAUUCACAUUUUUGCUAAUUCCUUGCAUAUCGCGAUUAACUAAGCAUCGGCAUGCAAAGCUCAAAAUUUGGAAAUCGAGCCCCCGUGAAAAGAAACAUUUUUUGUAAAUUCAUGUUCUUACUAGGAUUUUUUUGUUCUCACAUUUACAUUUGUGAAAUUUUAUUAAGCGCAUUUUUCAGAUCUUUUUAAUGUUAAAGGUAUGCAGGCUUUGAUGUGUGCAUUAACAACUGCUCGGAUUGAGAAAACCAAUCAGCCACAGUCGAAAAAAAAAAAAACAAAAAACAAAAUCAAAUAACAAAAACAAACAAUAACAAAUAAAUCCAAGGCACAAAGUAAGCGAUCAAGUGUGACUAAUGCGGAAAAGUGACUCAAAGAGUUAAUAAAAGUAGGCUUAUAUAAGUAGCUCUCUGGGUGCGUGUAUGUGUGUGCGUGUGUGUUUGCGUGUGUGUGCUUGUUAAUGCACAUAAAGUAAUUUAGGCACGCCGCAGCCCAGCCCACAUCCCGAAAAAUUAUGUUAUACAAAUAAUUAAAA